rnacentral:rRNA from 1 species
AUUGAACGCUGGCGGCAGGCCUAACACAUGCAAGUCGAGCGGAUGAAGGGAGCUUGCUCCUGGAUUCAGCGGCGGACGGGUGAGUAAUGCCUAGGAAUCUGCCUGGUAGUGGGGGAUAACGUCCGGAAACGGGCGCUAAUACCGAAUACGUCCUGAGGGAGAAAGUGGGGGAUCUUCGGACCUCACGCUAUCAGAUGAGCCUAGGUCGGAUUAGCUAGUUGGUGGGGUAAAGGCCUACCAAGGCGACGAUCCGUAACUGGUCUGAGAGGAUGACCAGUCACACUGGAACUGAGACACGGUCCAGACUCCUACGGGAGGCAGCAGUGGGGAAUAUUGGACAAUGGGCGAAAGCCUGAUCCAGCCAUGCCGCGUGUGUGAAGAAGGUCUUCGGGUUGUAAAGCACUUUAAGUUGGGAGGAAGGGCAGUAAGUUAAUACCUUGCUGUUUUGACGUUACCAACAGAAUAAGCACCGGCUAACUUCGUG